UAAAAAGUCCUAAAAAAGUCAUAGUAUAGCAUGGCAUAAAAAGUCCUAAAAAAGUCAUAGUAUAGCAUGGCAUAAAAAGUCAUAAAAAAGUCAUAGUAUAGCAUGGCAUAAAAAGUCAUAGUAUAGUAAGGCAUAAAAAGUCAUAAAAAAGUCAUAGUAUAGCAUGGCAUAAAAAGUCAUAGUAUAGCAUGGCAAAAAAAGUCAUAAAAAAGUCAUAGUAUAGCAUGGCAUAAAAAAGUCAUAGUAUAGUAAGGCAAAAAAAGUCAUAAAAAAGUCAUAGUAUAGCAUGGCAAAAAAAGUCAUAGUAUAGCAUGGCAUAAAAAGUCAUAGUAUAGUAAGGCAUAAAAAGUCAUAAAAAAGUCAUAAUAUAGCAUGGCAAAAAAAGUCAUAAAAAAGUCAUAGUAUAGUAAGGCAAAAAAAGUCAUAAAAGUCAUAGUAUAGCAUGGCAUAAAAAGUCAUAAAAAAGUCAUAGUAUAGCAUGGCAUAAAAAGUCAUAGUAUAGUAAGGCAAAAAAAGUCAUAGUAUAGCAAGGCAUAAAAAGUCAUAAAAAAGUCAUAGUAUAGUAAGGCAUAAAAAGUCAUAGUAUAGUAAGGCAAAAAAAGUCAUAAAAAAGUCAUAGUAUAGCAUGGCAUAAAAAAUCAUAGUAUAGUAAGGCAUAAAAAGUCAUAAAAAAGUCAUAGUAUAGUAAGGCAUAAAAAGUCAUAAAAAGUCAUAGUAUAGCAAGGCAUAAAAAGUCAUAGUAUAGCAUGGCAUAAAAAGUCAUAGUAUAGCAUGGCAUAAAAAGUCAUAAAAAAGUCAUAGUAUAGCUUGGCAUAAAAAAGUCAUA